rnacentral:rRNA from 1 species
UACGAAGGGUGCAAGCGUUACUCGGAAUUACUGGGCGUAAAGCGUGCGUAGGCGGUUUGUUAAGUCCGCUGUGAAAGCCCUGGGCUCAACCUGGGAAUUGCAGUGGAUACUGGCAAGCUAGAGUGCGGUAGAGGAUGGUGGAAUUCCAGGUGUAGCGGUGAAAUGCGUAGAUAUCUGGAGGAAUACCGGUGGCGAAGGCGGCAUCCUGGACCGGCAUUGACGCUGAUGAGCGAAAGCUAGGGGAGCAAACGGG